CACGUAGGGUGCGAGCGUUGUCCGGAUUUACUGGGCGUAAAGGGCGCGUAGGCGGCGUGACAAGUCACUUGUGAAAUCUCCGGGCUUAACUCGGAGCGGUCAAGUGAUACUGUCGUGCUAGAGUGCGGAAGGGGCUACUGGAAUUCUCGGUGUAGCGGUGAAAUGCGUAGAUAUCGAGAGGAACACCUGCGGCGAAGGCGGGUAGCUGGGCCGACACUGACGCUGAUGCGCGAAAGCCAGGGGAGCGAACGGG
rnacentral:rRNA from 1 species